rnacentral:ncRNA from 1 species
UAGGCUGAGGAGCAAAAGGAGAAAGCCGCCCAAGGAGGGGCUCGCGUCUGAUUAGCUAGUUGGUGAGGCAAUAGCUUACCAAGGCGAUGAUCAGUAGCUGGUCCGAGAGGAUGAUCAGCCACACUGGGACUGAGACACGGCCCAGACUCCUACGGGAGGCAGCCACGGGGAAUUUUCCGCAAUGGGCGAAAGCCUGACGGAGCAAUGCCGCGUGGAGGUGGAAGGCCUACGGGUCGUCAACUUCUUUUCUCGGAGAAGAAACAAUGACGGUAUCUGAGGAAUAAGCAUCGGCUAACUCUGUGCCAGCAGCCGCGGUAAGAC